CAAUAUUUUUUUUUAAUAGUAUAUUUUGGGAACAAGUCAUGGUGUGAUAUGUAUUGCCAUAAUCUUUGUAUGUUCCAUGACAUUUCCGAGCAUUUAUUCGGUAAAAUUCUUAAAGAUUGAUUUGUGUGUGCACCAUGGCCGUAAGACGAAGCUUAGAUAUGACCACAUCCACAAAUAAUGAACAGAACAUGCAUUUUGAAUUGGCUUGAUAAGUCGCGAUCUUGCCCAACAUGUCAAAACAAUGUUACAAGAAACAGUUUAUUAGAGGUUCUUUCCGAAAAUGUUGCCGACCACAAUCUGAACCUGGAAACAAAUAGUUUGGAGAGGAUUCUGUUAACUAAUAGUCAAAAGAAGAAAAAGAGACAGUCGCAGCAAUCAAAUGAGAUAGUAGAUCUCGAGGAUAACAGUAACGUAUUGUCUAAUUCUGCUUUUGCGGAUAACCCAAACCAAGAUGUAGGUUUCUUAGAGCAGAGAAUAGUAUCACAGGUAGAUCAUCGAAUAACUUCGCAAAUUAGUCAAAUGCAGUCCAUGAUCUCGGCAGGAAGAACGGAUGCAAUACCUAACUUCCAUACCAAUGCAGAUGAUAAUGGAAAUAACAAUGAACCUGAUUGGGGAAGAAGAACUACUAGAGCUUCGUCACUUAAUCUAGAAAGAGACGUACCCACCUUCAUACCCAAUGAAUAUAGAAAUAGUAACAAUCUACCGGAGAGAAAUGGUAGUUUCAAUCUAAGUCGCGAUGUGGGAAAAGUAGCAAAUUUGAUUAGUAGCUUGAAAGUGCAGUAUAAUGGCUAUACAUGAUUACAGCUUUGACAAAUGAUAGCUUACGAGGAAACUUUGAAGUAUUGUGCGAACACAUUCAUAUUCUCUUUAGUGGCCGAGCAAGUGAAUGGUUCUGGAGAUACAGACGCACUGUAGACAGAGUAAACUGGUCCGAUCUUUGUAAGUCGCUGAAUUCAUAUUUUCUUGAACCGCUAUCUGACGAUGACGUGAGAGAAUUGAUAAGAGAUCGCAAGCAGCAAAUCAGCGAAAGUUUUGAUGAAUUUCAUAACGGAGUUAUGCAUUUAGUAGAUCGCUUACAAUACCCUAUUAGCGAGAGUCAACUAACGUCAAUUCUGAAACGAAAUCUGAGACCGUUUAUGAGAAAGGAGUUGUUCUAUAUAGAAAUCAAUUCGGUUAGCCAGUUGAGAAAAUUAGUCCUUAGACGAGAAGCUUUUAGUGAGGAGUAUAACACCGCUAACCCGAAAGCAAACACACGAAAGCAAAUUAAUGCAUUGGAGUAUGACCAAGAACGUUCAGAUAACCAUCUAGGAGAGCAAGAAAUUUGCGAACUAAAAAGAACUAGAGCCUUAGAAGAGAUUCAUUGCUGGAAUUGUCGCAGGUUUGGCCAUAAACACGCAGAUUGCCAAUCUGAUAAGAAGAUAUUUUGCUUAGGUUGCGGAGCUGAAAAUAUAAUAAGACCAAAUUGUGAAACCUGUCAGGAAAACCGACGGUUGAGCGGCAACAAGAACAGCAGUUACCGCUCAAAUCCUCAGCAUUAAAUAAAGAGCAUUCUUCUUCUUACUGUCCGAAAGUCAAUAUAAUUCCUAAAUAUUUAAAUUCUAAAAAUAUUCAAGGUAAAUUAUAUCCAAUAGUCCCGUAUCAUAUAAGACUUCGAAACUAUGAAGAAAUAAGAGAAAAAAUAUUUUGUAGCGAUUUAGUUAAAAAACCCAGUUGUGUCCUAACUAAGAGAAAUACCGUUCGUUUUCGUAACUUUAUAAGAAAAGUUAAAGAUAGAAUGAGGGGUAUAUCGCUGAGUCUAGAUUCGAUUGUUGAUGUAAAAAAGGCAUAUCAAACCAAUAAGAGAACGUACGAUUUGCGCACAAGAUACGUUACGUUCGAACUCGGCGAACACGUCUAUAGACGAAACAAAAGUAACAAGAUCAAGGCAUUUAAUGCAAAAUUAGCUCCUAAAUUCUUGAAGGCAACUGUAGUUCGAAAGUUUGGUAACCACUGUUAUGAAUUAGAAGAAGAUGGUCAACAGAUAGGAAAGUUCCAUGCCAAAGACCUACAAAAGUGCGUAACUUAAAAGAUGACCGUUUUCUAGCUUAUUUUGAACAAGUAGAACAGCUUAAAAAUAACCUGUGGUGUGACGGCCCAUAUUUGGAUGGACUUAUUUGUGUGCACAGAGCUGUAGCUUAUCUGCAUGCAAGGGAAUAAACGGGAAUAAAGCGAAAGCUUUUGACGAGAGAGCGAGCUUUGGGUUAUCUUGGUGGGUUAUCUAGCCCUUGUGCUUUAGAAUGGGAUGAAGAAACAAAAUCAAAGCUCAAGCGCUGGAUCAUUCGAUCCAUGGAACUAAAUUGUGGAAGGUCAGUUUGGUGGUACGGCGAGAUAAAAGAAAAGAAAAGAAUAAAAGGUUAUACACGUGUCUGAAAAAAAAAGAAAAAUUGAAAUCAAUAAAUCGUCGAAAGUAGGGUGCACAUGCCAAGCUGCCCCAAAAAUUAAGAUCAGUGUUCUCAAGGAUAAACCCGGUUUCAAGCCCCAAACGGGGUCUGAGCUUUGCCAGUCGAUCUCGGUUUCUCCAGUGUAAUUUAAUAUUGACGAAAGUUAUCCAACGGAGGUCAAACUUCUGCCGCACAACGAAAAUUUGCGAUCAACCUUAUUUUUG